GAUGAACGCUGUCGGCGUGCUUAACACAUGCAAGUCGAACGGAAAGGCUCCUGCUUGCAGGGGUACUCGAGUUGCGAACGGGUGAGUAACACGUGGGUGAUCUGCCCUGCACUUCGGGAUAAGCCUGGGAAACUGGGUCUCAUACCGGCUAGGACGAUGGUUUGGAUGCCAUUGUGGAAAUUUUUUCGGUGUGGGUUUAACUCGCGGCCUAUCAGCUUGUUGGUGAGGUAAUGGCCUACCAAGUCGUCGACGGGUAGCUGGCCUGAGAGGGUGUACGACCAGAAUGAGACUGAGAUACGGCACAGACUGAUACGGGAGGAAGAAGUGGAGAAGAUUACAGAAUGGGCGCAAGCCAGAUGGAGAGACACCGAGUGGGGGAUGAAGGCCUACGGGUUGUAAACUACUUGCGAAAGGGAUGAACAACAAGUGACGGUACCUGAGGAAGAAGCAAAGGCUAAAUACGUG
rnacentral:rRNA from 1 species